rnacentral:lncRNA from 1 species
UGAAUUUUGAUCAAAGAACUUUUAUAUUUUACAGCAUAUAACAAAAUAUAAAAAAGAUGUGGUUUGAUUGCCAAUGAGACAUCUGUCCACAAGAGACCAAAAUGACAGACAUUAACAAUUAUAGGUCACUGUGUGGCCUUCAACAAUGAGCAAAGCCCAUACCACAUAGUCAGACUCAGCUAUAAAAGGCCCAAAUAUGACGAUGUAAAACAAUUCAAACGAGAAUACUAACGGCCUUACAUAAAAAAAUAUGAACGAAAAACAAUUAUGUAACACAUAAACAAACGACAAUCUCUAAAUUACAGGCUCCUGACUUGGGACAGGCACAUACAUAAAUAAUGUGGCGGGGUUAAACAUGUUCCAUUAGGGAGUUUCCUUAUAUAAUAUUUAUCCAAUGCUAAAAGAAAAUUUCCUUCUCCAAGGAUAAAAUACUACACGGGGGUGUGGAAAUGCUCUGCCCGACUCGUACAUUUGAACAACCGGACAAGUAAUUAUUUUUGUCUGGGUUGCCCGUGGACAAGUAAAAAAAUGUAAAAGACAAAUUUCAAUUAACAAAUGCAACAGAAAUAUAGAAUUAAUUUUAACAUGUUCAAAAUGUAUAAAGAUGUUAAAUUUAUGUUAAAGAAACCAAUGGUCAGCAAGUAAAAACACAAAUGUUCAUGACGAUAAAUAUUAUAUAAUACCGG